CGAUAAUAGCAAACUUAUUGAAAGGUAAGGACGCAAAGUCAUGGGUCUAAGGUCUUGAGAAAAGACUAGGAUUGCCAGACUGCCGAA
rnacentral:ncRNA from 1 species